AUGGACGUGGAGUUGAGGAUAGAGCAGUGUGCCAAGUUGAGAAUAAAACCAUGUCAGCCUAGAGCUAUGUUUUUGGACAUAGUAGAUUGUGAUAAUGUGCUAUCAUCAUGGGGACAGAGCUUCUCACACAAGAGUGCUUCCUCCACUUCUCCAACAACUCAUCUGAGUGUUAGUUACAGCAAGGUACCCAUGCAUCAGUGGAGGUUGCUUCAACACCUCCCUGCCCUUCGUUGUUUAACCAUCGACAGUUGCUGUGAUUUGACCACCUCACCUGAGAAUGAGAUUAUCCAACACGUCCCCUCACUGAAAUCAUUGCACCUCCGAUCAUUGUCUCUCGACCAGGCAGAACUCCCAGUUUGGUUGGUUGCUCUGACAUCACUACAGGAACUAAGUCUAUCUGGGUGUGGAAGCUUGACAUCUCUACCGGAGUGGUUAGGAGAACUCACCUCUCUCGAGAAACUUGAAAUUUUACACAGUAUUGCUUUUAUUCUCUUCAUCCCAACAUCAGACGGCUCUUUAAUUUGGGUGAAACCAUCGGAUGACUCGGAGGAAGAAGACAGGGGAAUCCCGGAUCUGCACAGUGAUAUGAUGAAUGUUCCUGGUUUCUUCAUAGACUCAGAUGAAGGAGAGACAAUGAUUCCGGAUGUGCACAGUGCUAUGAUGAGCGUUCCUGGCUUCUUCACAGAAUCAGAUGAAGAAGACACAAAAAUGGUGGAUCUGCAGAGUGCUAUGAGAAGCGUUCCUGACUGCUUCACAGACGCAGAGGAAGAAGACACAGAAAUUCCGGAUCUGCACAGUGAUAUGAUGAGCGUUCCCGGCUUCUUCACAGAGGAGGCUCUGCAGUUAUCUAAUCCGUAG
rnacentral:rRNA from 1 species